rnacentral:rRNA from 1 species
UUUUAUGAGAGUUUGAUCCUGGCUCAGGACGAACGCUGGCGGCGUGCCUAAUACAUGCAAGUCGAACGCUUCUUUUUCCAC